AUUGAACGCUGGCGGCAGGCCUAACACAUGCAAGUCGAGCGAGCGGCGGACGGGUGAGUAAUGUAUGGGGAUCUGCCCGAUAGAGGGGGAUAAAUACUGGAAACGUUGGCUAAUACCGCAUACUAUCGGAUGAACCCAUAUGGAAUUAGCUAGUAGGUGGGGUAAAGGCUCACCUAGGCGACGAUCUCUAGCUGGUCUGAGAGGAGGAUCAGCCACACUGGGACGGAGACACGGCCCUGACUCCUACGGGAGGCAGCAGUGGGGAAUAUUGAACAAUGGGCGAAAGCCGGAUGCAGCCAUGCCGCGUGUAUGAAGAAGGCCUUAGGGUUGUAAAGUACUUUCAGCGGGGAGGCGUUACCCGCAGAAGAAGCACCGGCUAACUCCGUGCCAGCCGCCGCGGUAAUAC
rnacentral:rRNA from 1 species